rnacentral:rRNA from 1 species
AUGGCAUAUAUAUCUGAAAUCAGCCACUUAAUGACACAUCACGAAGGAGCUUUUCAAUGGCACAUCUCAAAUACAGCCAAUCUGCAGCAGCAUGUAUCUAUUUUUUUAUUCGACUCUUUACUGGUCGGCACAACCUUUUCUGUUACAUGCCCCUGUUUAUUUGUGGAAGACAUUUCAGUAGAAAUGUCUAUUAACUGUAGCUUGAUGGAUGGUCAGUGUCACGGUUACCUAAAGAGUUCUUCUGUUUUAGUAAUUGUGAUACAGCAUAGUUUUAAAAAUAUCACAUCGAAUUACAUGAACAUGGUUAUGGAUUGCUGCAAAGUUGUUCCAUAA